UACGUAGGCAGCAAGCGUUGUUCGGAGUUACUGGGCGUAAAGGGUGCGUAGGCGGUUGGUUAAGUUUGGUGUGAAAUCUCCCGGCUCAACUGGGAGGGUGCGCCGAAUACUGAAUGACUCGAGUGCGGGAGAGGAGAGUGGAAUUCCUGGUGUAGCGGUGAAAUGCGUAGAUAUCAGGAGGAACACCGGUGGUGUAGACGGCUCUCUGGACCGUAACUGACGCUGAGGCACGAAAGCGUGGGUAGCAAACAGG
rnacentral:rRNA from 1 species